rnacentral:rRNA from 1 species
GAAAGAUGGCUUUGGCUAUCACUCUGGGAUGGACCUGCGGUGCAUUAGCUAGUUGGUAAGGUAAUGGCUUACCAAGGCGAUGAUGCAUAGCCGAGUUGAGAGACUGAUCGGCCACAAUGGAACUGAGACACGGUCCAUACUCCUACGGGAGGCAGCAGUAGGGAAUCUUCCACAAUGGGCGCAAGCCUGAUGGAGCAACACCGCGUGAGUGAAGAAGGGUUUCGGCUCGUAAAGCUCUGUUGUUGGAGAAGAACGUGCGUGAGAGUAACUGUUCACGCAGUGACGGUAUCCAACCAGAAAGUCACGGCUAACUACGUGCCAGCAGCCGCGGUAAUACGUAGGUGGCAAGCGUUAUCCGGAUUUAUUGGGCGUAAAGCGAGCGCAGGCGGUUGCUUAGGUCUGAUGUGAAAGCCUUCGGCUUAACCGAAGAAGUGCAUCGGAAACCGGGCAACUUGAGUGCAGAAGAGGACAGUGGAACUCCAUGUGUAGCGGUGGAAUGCGUAGAUAUAUGGAAGAACACCAGUGGCGAAGGCGGCUGUCUGGUCUGCAACUGACGCUGAGGCUCGAAAGCAUGGGUAGCGAACAGGAUUAGAUACCCUGGUAGUCCAUGCCGUAAACGAUGAGUGCUAGGUGUUGGAGGGUUUCCGCCCUUCA